rnacentral:rRNA from 1 species
CAUAGAUUAUUUUUGAUGGUCCUUGCUACUUGGAUAACCGUAGUAACUCUAGAGCUAAUACAUGCAUCAAUCCCUGACUUCCUGGAAGGGGUGUACUUAUUAGAUGGAAACCAGUGCGGGUUCGCCCGGAUUAUGGUGAUUCAUAAUAAUUUUCGGAUCGAUCAAUUGAUCGAUGCAUCAUUCAAGUUUCUGCCCUAUCAGCUUUGGAUGGUAGGGUAUUGGCCUACCAUGGCAUUAACGGGUAACGGAGAAUUAGGGUUCGAUUCCGGAGAGGGCGCCUGAGAAACGGCGACCAGUUCCAAGGAAGGCAGCAGGCGCGUAAAUUACCCAAUCCUGACACAGGGAGGUAGUGACAAUAAAUAACAAUGUCGGGCCUUCGGGUUUGACAAUUGGAAUGAGAACAAUUUAAAUCCCUUAUCGAGGAUCAAUUGGAGGGCAAGUCUGGUGCCAGCAGCCGCGGUAAUUCCAGCUCCAAUAGCGUAUACUAAAGUUGUUGCAGUUAAAAAGCUCGUAGUUGAAUUUCUGGUUUCGGAGUGCGGUCUGCCCCGUGGGGUAAGUAUCAGCGCUCGGGAGCCAUCCUCGAGGAGAACAUGCCUGUGAUUGAGUUCAUGGGUAUGGGAGCCUCGUCUUUUACUGUGAGCAAACUAGAGUGUUCAAAGCAGGCUUACGCCGUUGAAUACAUUAGCAUGGAAUAAUAAAAUAGGACUCUGGUCUAUUUUGUUGGUUAGUACUCCAGGGUAAUGAUUAAUAGGGACAGUUGGGGGUAUUCGUAUUCAAUUGUCAGAGGUGAAAUUCUUGGAUUUAUGGAAGACGAACUACUGCGAAAGCAUUUACCAAGGAUGUUUUCAUUAAUCAAGAACGAAAGUUAGGGGAUCGAAGAUGAUUAGAUACCAUCGUAGUCUUAACCAUAAACUAUGCCGACUAGGGAUUGGUGGUCGUUUAUUUUGACUCCAUCAGCACCUUUAUGAGAAAUCAAAGUCUUUGGGUUCCCGGGGGGAGUAUGGGUCGCAAGGCUGAAACUUUACGUAUUGACGGAAGGGCACCCACCAGGCGCGAGCCUGCGCUUAUUUUGACUCAACACGGAAAACUUUACCAGGUCCAGACCUUAGUGAAGAAUGGACGGAUGAGAGCUCUUCCUGGAUCUAUGGAUGAUGAUGCCAUGCC